UACAGAGGGUGCAAGCGUUAAUCGGAAUUACUGGGCGUAAAGCGUGCGUAGACGGUUACAUAAGUCGGGUGUGAAAGCCCCGGGCUCAACCUGGGAAUUGCAUUCGAGACUGCGUAGCUAGGGUGCGGAAGAGGGAAGCGGAAUUUCCGGUGUAGCGGUGAAAUGCGUAGAUAUCGGAAGGAACACCAGUGGCGAAAGCGGCUUCCUGGUCCAGCACCGACGUUCAGGCACGAAAGCGUGGGGAGCAAACGGG
rnacentral:rRNA from 1 species